rnacentral:lncRNA from 1 species
AAGACAUAGAAUUUGGAUUUUUCUUCUUCGUAGAGUUUUGGGAAGACUGAGGCAAUCGCUGCUGAAGUCAGUAUUGUAAUGGUGAAUCGGGAUUUUUUAAUGAAGUGGGUUUGAAUACUCUUGACUGUUUUGUAAAAUCGAGUUACGUCUGUGAUUGAAGGAUUAAAAGGGUGUCUAUAGGAUUGAGUAUGUGGAGUGAAUGAAAUUUAUUGGGUUAAUCUAACAAGACAGUCAGUGGAUACAAGAUCGUAAGUACAAAGCGGUAUUGAAGAUUAACAGUUUGGGUUGUUCGGGGUUCUCUGUAA